GCAGCGGGACAGACGGCCGCUUCGCUGAAGCGCGCAAGCGCGGAGGCUGAGAGGAAAGUCCGAACUCCGCAGGGCAGUGCGCCGGGUAACCCCCGGUCAGGGCAACCUGAAGGACAGUGGCACAGAAAAUAUACCGCCUCUUCGUAGUGUCCGGCUUCAGCCGGACGAUGCGAAAGGGUAAGGGUGAAAAGGUGCGGUAAGAGCGCACCGCGCCGGCCGUAAGGUCGGUGGCAGGCAAAACCCCGCACGGAGCAAGACCAAAUAGGGAGGCACGCCAGCUCACCCGACGCUCAAUGCGUCGGUUAACGUUGGUCCGGACGGCCCGUCCGUAGCCUCCGGGUCGGUCGCUUGAUCCCGCCAGCGAUGGCGGGGCUAGAGGAAUGGUCGUUACCUCGCCGGCGCCAGCGCAAGCUGGCGUUGGCGGGGACAGAAUUCGGCUUACGGCCCGCUGCGAUC
rnacentral:RNase_P_RNA from 3 species